rnacentral:lncRNA from 1 species
UGUCUUCAGACAGGCCCUGUUCCAUGUUUAGAGAGAGAUCUUUGAGCACCCAUCUUCAUACAUUUGAGAACAGGGUCACUGAGAGGGAGUCUCUGAGGUCACAGAGUUUAUUAGUUCAUUUUCACACUCCAGGAAAGAAGUUUAAUUCACAGUUCCACAUGGCUGGGGAGGCCUCAGGAAACUUACAAUCAUGGUGGAAGGGGAAGCAAACACAUCCUUCACGUGGCAGCAGGAGAGAGAAGUGCAGAAGAGGGGAAAGUCCCCUUAUAAAACCAUCAGAUCUCGUGGGAACUCACUCAGUAUCACGAGAACAGCAUGUGGGAACCACUCCCAUGAUG